AUCUGUCUUUAGGUUGUAUUC
ensembl:piRNA 21ur-1759 ncRNA